AUGGGUUACAGUCGGACGUCACAGCCAAUCACCAGCAGCCCGGUCUGUGUGGUGUAUUGAAAAAAAACGGAGAGAUGAUGAGGCAGGGAGCCCAGAGCUGACUCACUUAAGGUUCUAACUUCCAGCAGCGGUUGUGUCUGCAUGCAGCAGGCACUGAGCUGAAGAGUUCACUUCAAGCAGUCAAUCAGCUGUCAGUCGCUGAGGCGAGGCUUCAUAUCCAAAAAAAAAUCAUGGAUUUGGAAUCUGGGGAAUUGGGUGAAGGAGAUCUCUCCUCAGCAGUAACAGAAUCCUUUAACUCCAAAAGCUUGGCCCUGCAAGCUCAGAAAAAGAUCUUGAGCAAAAUGGCUACCAAGGCAGUGGCCAAUAUGCUCAUUGACGACACAAGUAGUGAGAUCCUUGAUGAGCUGUACAAAGUAACCAGAGAUUACACCAGUGACAAGAAAGAGGCUCACAAAGUCUUGAAGGAUUUGAUCAAGAUUGCUCUAAAAAUCGGAAUCCUCUACAGAAAUAACCAGUUCAACCAAGACGAAGUGGAGGUAGUGGAUAAAUUCAAGAAGAAGUUAAAUCAGGCAGCUAUGACAGCAGUCAGUUUCUAUGAGGUUGAGUUUACCUUCGAUAGAAAUGUUCUGGCAGAACUGCUGACUGAAUGCAAGGAUUUGCUGCACAUUCUGAUCGAGCGACACCUCACUCCCAAAUCCCAUGGACGCAUUGAUCACGUUUUCAGACUCUUUGCAGAUGUGGAGUUUUUGUCUGAGUUGUACAAUCCCGUUGGAGUUUACAAAGAGUAUCUGCAGAAAAUCUGCGAGGGCAUCAACAAACUGCUGGAUGAAGGCAUCAUCUGAACUUUACUGCCUAAACAAAAAGAAAACAUUUGAAUUCCCACCAUCCACUUGUCUUCAAGGGACCCAUGUACCAUCAUUGCAGGGUUUGAUGGUCUAUUCCCAUUGUUUGUAUUUGAGUGCCACAGAGAUUCCUUUUGUCUAUGAUUGUUAUACUAACAUCAGUGAAGAUUCAAGUUCUACAAUGCAGAAUGCCUCGACAGUUAGGAAGUCUGGGAGAAAAGUUGAAGCUGAUCUGUUUUUGGGUUACGUAAAGCUCGGUUACCUGAAGGGUGUGGAACUGCUGCAGUCAGAAAGAGGGGAUGGAACAUAGAAAUUAAAAAAAACAUUAGGAAUCAGACUAAGAGGAUCCAGGUAAUGAUUAUAACAUUACCUCUUCUUUGGUGCAUUGAUCUCAAGUUGUGACAAAGACUUGUAAUCAUGGUACACAUCAAUGCCAUUGGGUAUAUUAUCUUUUAGUCUUCAAUUGCAAAUCAUUUCUAAGUUAUAGCCACAACAGGAAUUAUUCACUGUCCCAGCUAACUGAUUAAAUUCAAAUAAUCCAACAGUGCAAGGUGAAAUUUUAGACUUUUAACCAAUACUUAGGUUACAUUAAUUUGAUUUGGAUUCCUUUGAAUUUAGAAGUUUGAUGGUGAACUAAGUGAGGUGCUUAAAAUGGUAAAGGGAUUAGAUAGUGUGGAUACAGAGAAGUUAUUUCCUCUAACAAGGGCAUCCAGUACAAGGGGAUACAACUGUAAAAAUAUAGAGUUUGACCAUUUAGGAAUCUCAUUCUGCCAAUCAAAAAACUGGAAUUCUCUCUCUUGUAAAAGGCUAUAAAUGCUGGGUCAAAUUAAAUUUAAAACAGAUUGAAUAGGAGUAUAAAGAUUUGGAACAAAAGGCAUAACUAUACAUUACCCACAAGCUAUUAGAAUGGCAAAGCAGGCUUCUGGAGUUGAGUGGCCUAUUCCCAUUCCAGAAGAGUGUAUUAUAGAUAUUAAGCUGAAGCUUCAUAUACCUAUUAUAGUGAGAGAUCCCAUUGCACUUUUGAUAAAGAAAUUGUUUCUGUCAGUGUUUCUCUAAAACAUCCUCCAAAAUCAGACCAACUGAUCAUUAGCUCAUUAUUGUUUGUGUAUCCUAGCUGUCCAAGUCAGUUGCUGCAUUUGCCUACAUAACAAACAUGACUGCACUUCGAAACUGUUCUUUGGCUGCUAAGCACUUUAGAACCUCCUGAUGUGAAAGGCCUAUACAAAUACAAGUUCUUUUUUUUUCAAAGUAACUAUCUUUCACUGUGAAUCAAUAGCUAGAGGAAGUACAUUUUGUCACCAACCAGAACACUAGCAGCUGAUUCAAAAGUUCAAGUUGAAUUUGCCUCACGACUGCUGACUCUUUCUACGCUUUUGAUAUUCGGAUAUGUUCAACAUUAUUGUACGUACUUGCUAAAUUUUUAUUUUAGCUAUGUCCCUUUAGUUUUUGUUCAAUUUUUCUAUUGCACAUAACUGUACUGUGUUGAUAGGCUACAAUGUGAAUGUAAAAUCGUCUCAAAUGGUCAAUCUGCAACCUAUUUUUGAAACCAUAUUUCAAUCACAUUUGGUAUAUUUGGCUCUAGUAAUGCACAGACUUUGUAUGAACUAUUAGUCAUGUACUAUAAGUUUU